rnacentral:rRNA from 1 species
AAAGCGUGCGCAGGCGGUUAUGCAAGACAGGUGUGAAAUCCCCGAGCUCAACUUGGGAACUGCACUUGUGACUGCAUAGCUAGAGUACGGUAGAGGGGAGUGGAAUUCCGCGUGUAGCAGUGAAAUGCGUAGAUAUGCGGAGGAACACCGAUGGCGAAGGCAGCUCCCUGGACCUGUACUGACGCUCAUGCACGAAAGCGUGGGGAGCAAACAGGAUUAGAUACCCCAGU